UACGGAGGUGGCAAGCGUUGUUCGGAAUUACUGGGCGUAAAGGGUGCGUAGGCGGCGCGGUAAGUCGGGUGUGAAAUCUCGGAGCUUAACUCCGAAACUGCAUUCGAUACUGCCGUGCUUGAGGACUGGAGAGGAGACUGGAAUUCCCGGUGUAGCGGUGAAAUGCGCAGAUAUCGGGAAGAACACCGGUGGCGAAGGCGGCUCUCUGGACCUGUCCGUGACGCUCAGGCGCGAAAGCUAGGGGAGCGAACAGG
rnacentral:rRNA from 1 species